rnacentral:rRNA from 1 species
AGGAUGUGUGAUGACGCAUAUCAAUAAGCGGAGGAAAAGAAACUAACAAGGAUUCCCUUAGUAACGGCGAGUGAAGCGGGAAGAGCUCAAAUUUGAAAUCUUCAAGGUUCUACCUUGACGAAUUGUAGUUUAAAGAAGUGUUUUCUGUUGGAGUUUUGGUAAAAGUUCUUUGGAAUAGGACAUCAUAGAGGGUGAGAAUCCCGUAUUUGACCAUUAUUUCCAGCUGUGUGAUACACUUUCAAAGAGUCGGAUUGUUUGGGAAUGCAGUCCAAAAUGGGUGGUAAAUUUCAUCUAAAGCUAAAGUAUUGGCGAGGAGACCGAUAGCGAACAAGUACCGUGAGGGAAAGAUGAAAAGAACUUUGAAAAGAGAGUUAAACAGUACGUGAAAUUGUCAAAAGGGAAGCGUUUGACACCAGUGUUGUUUUUCCGAAAAUCAAUUACGAAUGUUUUGAUUUUGAGGAGUUAUGACUUCAUCGGCUUGCUCCUUUCUUUACUGAAACUUUCUUAAUGCACUUUUCGGUUAACAAGUCAACAUCAAUUUCUUUUGUUGUAAAAGGGUAUGAGGAAGGUGGCUUUCUUUUCGGAGAAAGUGUUUAUAGCCCUUGUGCCUUCUGCAAUCGGAGAGAUUGAGGUCUAGCAGCGUAGAUCCUUCGGGGUUAGAUACAGUUGUGCUAAGUUAUAGCUUUUCAUAGACAACUUGUUGACUAUGUUUAAGUCUAUGUAGCUUACUCGCAUACUGCUAUUUUACCUACGCUUAGGAUGUUGACGCAUGAGAUAUACGC